rnacentral:rRNA from 1 species
GACGAACGCUGGCGGCGUGCUUAACACAUGCAAGUCGAACGGAAAGGCCUGCUUUCCCUUGUGGAUUGCGGGUACUCGAGUGGCGAACGGGUGAGUAACACGUGAGUGAUCUGCCCCCAACUUGGGUAUAAGCCUGGGAAACUGGGUCUAAUUCCCGAUAGGACUGCAGGGUGGUGCCUGUGGUGGAAAACGAUUUUCUAGUGGUUGGGGAUGAGCUCGCGGCCUAUCAGCUUGUUGGUGGGGUAAUGGCCUACCAAGGCGGCGACGGGUAGCCGGCCUGAGAGGGUGGACGGCCACAUUGGGACUGAGAUACGGCCCAGACUCCUACGGGAGGCAGCAGUGGGGAAUAUUGCACAAUGGGCGGAAGCCUGAUGCAGCGACGCCGCGUGGGGGAUGACGGCCUUCGGGUUGUAAACUCCUUUCGACCGCGAGGAAGCCGCCUGGUUGGAAGGGUGGUGACGGUAGUGGUAGAAGAAGCACCGGCUAACUACGUG